GCCAUGGCUCAAUGGUAGAGCAUCUGCUUUGCAUGCAGAAGGUCCCAGGUUCAAUCCCUGGCAUCUCCA